AGAGCGAACGCUGGCGGCAGGCCUAACACAUGCAAGUCGAACGGACCCUUCGGGGUUAGUGGCGGACGGGUGAGUAACACGUGGGAACGUGCCUUUUGGUUCGGAAUAGCUCCUGGAAACGGGUGGUAAUGCCGAAUGUGCCCUUCGGGGGGAAAGAUUUAUCGCCAUUAGAGCGGCCCGCGUCUGAUUAGCUAGUUGGUGAGGUAAUGGCUCACCAAGGCGACGAUCAGUAGCUGGUCUGAGAGGAUGACCAGCCACAUUGGGACUGAGACACGGCCCAAACUCCUACGGGAGGCAGCAGUGGGGAAUCUUGCGCAAUGGGCGAAAGCCUGACGCAGCCAUGCCGCGUGAAUGAUGAAGGUCUUAGGAUUAGUAAAAUUCUUUACACCGGGGACGAUAAUGAACGGUACCCGGAGAAAGAACGCCCCGGACUAACGUUCGCGCCACGCAGCCGC
rnacentral:rRNA from 1 species